rnacentral:rRNA from 1 species
UACGUAGGUGGCGAGCGUUGUCCGGAUUUACUGGGCGUAAAGAGCGCGCAGGCGGUCGUACAAGUCGCGUGUGAAAGCCCCCGGCUCAACUGGGGAGGGUCACGCGAUACUGUUCGACUCGAAGGCAGGAGAGGGAAGUGGAAUUCCCGGUGUAGUGGUGAAAUGCGUAGAUAUCGGGAGGAACACCAGUGGCGAAGGCGACUUCCUGGCCUGUUCUUGACGCUGAGGCGCGAAAGCCAGGGGAGCAAACGGG